UACAGAGGUCUCAAGCGUUGUUCGGAUUCAUUGGGCGUAAAGGGUGCGUAGGUGGCCCCGUAAGUCCGCUGUGAAAGUCAAAGGCUCAACCUUUGAAAGCCGGUGGAUACUGUGGGACUAGAGUACUAAAGAGGGUCGCGGAAUUCCCGGUGUAGAGGUGAAAUUCGUAGAUAUCGGGAGGAACACCGGUGGCGAAGGCGGCGACCUGGGUAGAUACCGACGCUGAGGAGCGAAAGCAUGGGGAGCGAACAGG
rnacentral:rRNA from 1 species